rnacentral:rRNA from 1 species
UACGUAGGGUGCGAGCGUUGUCCGGAAUUAUUGGGCGUAAAGGGCUCGUAGGCGGUUUGUCACGUCGAAAGUGAAAACUCAGGGCUCAACCCUGAGCCUGCUUCCGAUACGGGCAGACUAGAGGUAUGCAGGGGAGAAUGGAAUUCCUGGUGUAGCGGUGAAAUGCGCAGAUAUCAGGAGGAACACCAGUGGCGAAGGCGGUUCUCUGGGCAUUACCUGACGCUGAGGAGCGAAAGUGUGGGGAGCGAACAGG